UAUCCAAACUACCUUUGAAACCGUUAGAGAUUUUACACAAGUCUAAUGCUGAAGAUGGACGUCUGUUCUCUGUGGUAGAGGUAAGGUAUCUUGCACAAAGAAUAUGUAUGUAAAGGUUGAAAUAAAUCGAUUAAGUAGUUUUUGAAUGACAGUGAUACCGCAAAUCGUGUUUUUCCAGAGACAUUCUACAAAAAGUUUCGUCGCCGAGCCGCUUGUCGAUAUUUAUGUUAUUGAAAUGAUACAAUAUAAUCAACGACACGACAUGAAACUUAGUGCAACAUCUCUAAGAAAAAGUGUUCAAAACAUUUUCCGCCAGUUACCACUAUAUUGAGUAGCCCCCCGAUGCAAACCAAAAAAUAAUUUCUCCAGCAACUCUUCUUUGUUUAUUUGGUAUUCAGAUUCUGUUGCUGUAAGCAACAAUGUUUACAGCAUAGUAAAUAAGAAAAAAAAUAUCCAGUAACGGAUUCGUUUCGGCGCAGCUAGUUUUGAUAGAUUUAUCAAAGGCCAAGUUGGCACUAUCACCGAAUAAUUUUGCCUGGUGGAGCAGCAAGUUCGACGUGUCCUGGUAGACGAGAUUAGUGAAAAGUUUGCCCCGGAUCGUCCGUGACUAUCUGGACAUACACACAGGUUAUAUUAAUUUUCAAAAAUAAUUGUCAACUAUUCGCAGCAUGAUAACGAGUCAGCGCAGAGCGAGACAUAUAAGGAGUUUAGUCUAAUUGUUUUGCACAAUUGUCGUAUUCUCUCGUGGAAAGUACGUUAGACUACUGAGAGAGCGUGGUGGAAAUGGUUAGUCAAGUUGAAUAGAUAUGAAUGAAUAGCGUGCAUCAAACAUUAAAUGUCAGCAAGGAAUAGAGACACCAAAACUGGACGAUAGAUUGGAGGACCUAGACGGCUGAACCUACCGGCCCGAAACUUAGCAUGGAACGGCAAUCCAACUCGUAGAAGAAGCACGUAAAAUAGCUAAGAAUGAGUGCAAACAUGCUAAUCCCGCAGCGGCUUAGACUGCGCUACUAGGAAUACCAAGAAUUGCGUUUUACAUAAGCCUCUAUGCAAGCCCAGGUUUACCGAUAUAUUAAUGCCAUCAGAAAAAAAUCUGCUAAAGGAUAAACGUAACCAUGAAAUAAUUACAUACACUGAUUAAUUAAAGAAAAUUGAUUUUGGAGCCGUCGUUUGUUCUUUUGAGCGGAGAUUUCUUUAAUUUGACUAAGAAGUACGCAACAAUGAAGUCGGAAGUGGUCUUUCGCGAAAAUGUCAGAAUCGAGGCUAACUUGCGGCUAAUAUUUCACCCUAGAAUCAUGUGGAACUUUCUAGCCAUGUGUUAGGUUUUCAAUGUAUGGAAAUGAAAUAUGUAUUUUGAGGAAGACAGCAGAGGUGCCGGUAUCAUUUGAGAUUCUAGAUCGAAACAGGAAGCGAAAUUACAUGAGAAUGGACCGACAAAGACGGCGGUAUUGCUUGUGGCAGCUGCGCUCGAAGGACAAAUGUAUGAAGGUUUUACCACAGAGAACAGACAUCCAUUAUCGAACAAAUAUGUUAAUAAACUUUUGAAUGAAUAUACAUUAAAGCACUAGCGCCGCUACAUUGGUGCAGAUAACUUAACUACCAUAUCGAAAACGUUAGGGAUUUUUACAUAACUGUUAACAGCAUGCAGUCGACCGUCAAGGAAACACUAGACAUCACCGUUUUCGGCGCUGCGCAAAAGGUCGUGCGAGUAUUACAAACAAUAUCAACAAAGGACUGCCAGGAUUGACGGAUAGCGGUUUUCAUCUGUCGUGGAAGUUAACGUCCGUAUAAGGCUCCCUCAGUUGUUAAGAACGAAGAGAAUCAAGAGGGUGAUAAAACUAAGGCUUUUCCAAUUGUUUCCUGACAGAAAUUCUGACUAUUAAUGCUUCAUCUUUUCGUUCACAGUAUCGAUCACUUGCUUGGGCCACACCAGGUAAAAAUUGGUCGAUCGAUUGGAAGGAAUCGGAUUUCCGAAAACAGUGUAUUUUUUUUAAAUCAAUUGUACUGUCGCGAAGCCACCAUGCAGGACAUCAAGCGACUCAUCAAUUUUACCCGUUUCAGGCAGAUGAAUACCAAGACCCCCCGAAACCGUGUCAUUUUAUAUUUUGGUGUUGAGCUUAUGAAGAAUAUUGUACAGCGAAACAAACGAUUUAUUCACUGAUAAAUAUUCUAUAACGAAAACUAGAUCUUUCUUCAUAUUUUAUUGACAUAUUGUAGUGUA